rnacentral:tRNA from 1 species
GUCGAUAUGGUGCAAUGGCGAACAUGUCUGACUUCCAAUCAGAGGAUCUGGGUUCGAAUCCCAGUAUCGACU